GGGGAAUAUUGGACAAUGGGCGCAAGCCUGAUCCAGCCAUGCCGCGUGUGUGAUGAAGGCCUUAGGGUUGUAAAGCACUUUCGCCGAUGAAGAUAAUGACGGUAGUCGGAGAAGAAGCCCCGGCUAACUUCGUGCCAGCAGCCGCGGUAAUACGAAGGGGGCAAGCGUUGUUCGGAUUUACUGGGCGUAAAGCGUACGUAGGCGGAUAAUUAAGUCAGGGGUGAAAUCCCGGGGCUCAACCUCGGAACUGCCUUUGAUACUGGUUGUCUUGAGUCCGGGAGAGGUGAGUGGAACUCCUAGUGUAGAGGUGAAAUUCGUAGAUAUUAGGAAGAACACCAGUGGCGAAGGCGGCUCACUGGCCCGGAACUGACGCUGAUGUACGAAAGCGUGGGGAGCAAAC
rnacentral:rRNA from 1 species